CCCUCGAUAGCUCAGCUGGUAGAGCGGAGGACUGUAGUGUGUUUCCCUGUCUUAGGGCACGGAGUUAUCCUUAGGUCGCUGGUUCGAUUCCGGCUCGAGGGA
rfam:Ornithorhynchus anatinus chromosome 7, whole genome shotgun sequence.